rnacentral:rRNA from 1 species
CUUGGUCAUUUAGAGGAAGUAAAAGUCGUAACAAGGUUUCCGUAGGUGAACCUGCGGAAGGAUCAUUAUUGAUUGCGAAUCGUUGUCUUCAGUGCUGGCCAGCUCUGGCAAGUGCACGUUGGCGGCUUUUCAUCCAUACCCCUGUGAACCUUUGGCCUCUUGCUAGCCUUGGCCGGCAGAGGUAUUUUUACACCCACUCGAAUGUAAUGAAAUUAUUGUUGUGCGUAAGCACUAAUGUACAACUUUCAACAACGGAUCUCUUGGCUCUCGCAUCGAUGAAGAACGCAGCGAAAUGCGAUAAGUAAUGUGAAUUGCAGAACUCAGUGAAUCAUCGAAUCUUUGAACGCACCUUGCACCCUUUGGCAUUCCGAAGGGUAUGCUCGUUUGAGUGUCAUUGUACUCUCACACUUCCGAUCUUUUGGAUUGGGAGCGGUGGACUUGGGUGUUGCUGCUUUGCGGUGGCUCGCCUCAAAUGCAUUAGUGCAACUCUUGGUUAGACAUAGUACGGCGUGAUAAGUAUCUUCGCCGGCACCUCGCAAGAGGGUGGCUGAUCAGGAGCUCUGUGCUUCCAACAGUCUGUGUUCAGACAACAACUGACAACUUGACCUCAAAUCGAGUAGGACCACCCGCUGAACUUAAGCAUAUCAAUAAGCGGAGGA